rnacentral:rRNA from 1 species
AAAAAACCUAAACCUAUCGCCCGCACGGACGAUCGACGACUCCUGCCCUCGAGUGAGGUCUCCCUUCGCCGCCGCCGCUCCACCCAGAGCCGCCCUCUUCCCCGCUGGCGCCGCCCUCUUCCCUCCCACCCCGAGCUGUCGUCUUCCCCGCCCACGCCGCUCUCUUCCCCGCCGGCGCUGCCAUCCACUCACCUUCUGUUCUUCAAGCGGGGACGCCCCAGAUCGAGUCGAGCAAGUCAGCGGGGCAGCAGCCAGAUCCGCCAUGGCCACAUCUCGUCGAGAUGGGCUGCGCCGGGAGAGGUAGAUCGAGGCGGCGGGCAACGUGUGCGUCUUGUCUCUUGGGACGCCGCUCCGACCCGAUCCGGCGAGGAGGCAGCCUCCGUGUGCGGCAAUGAGGGCGGCGGCCGGCUGCGCGAAAGGUCGAUCUGAUUGUGCCUCGUCACACCCCUUCCCUGGGCUGCACUUUCUUUGCCUGUUAAGCAAUUGAUAUACAUAGUGGAGCAAGAAUUAACACCAUGGAAGGGGAGAAAUACAGUACAGGCACUACGUAUUUUAAAUUUUGCAUGUGGGCUCAGGCGUGGCAGCGUCAGCGGCCUCCGACGCUCCUCGGCUCAGCCGCCGCCGACCUACCAUGCCCAAAAUCCUCGCGAGCAGUGUCACUCCUUCCCCUCACCGUG